AUUGAACGCUGGCGGCAGGCCUAACACAUGCAAGUCGAGCGGAGCGGCGGAAGGGGGAGUAAUGCCUAGGAAUCUGCCUGGUAGUGGGGGAUAACGUCCGGAAACGGGCGCUAAUACCGCUUACUAUAAGAUGAGCAUAGGUCGGAUUAGCUAUCUGGUGGGGUAAAGGCCUACCAAGGCGACGAUCCGUAACUGGUCUGAGAGGAUGACCAGUCACACGGGAACUGAGACACGGUCCAGACGUCUACGGGAGGCAGCAGUGGGGAAUUUUGGACAAUGGGCGAAAGCCUGAUCCAGCCAUGCCGCGUGUGUGAAGAAGGUCUUCGGAUUGUAAAGCACUUUAAGUUGGUAGGCGUUACCAACAGAAUAAGCACCGGCUAACUUCGUGCCAGCAGCCGCGGUAAUAC
rnacentral:rRNA from 1 species